UACGGAGGGGGCGAGCGUUAUUCGGAAUUAUUGGGCGUAAAGGGCGCGUAGGCGGCUGAACAAGUCAAAGGUGAAAUCCCUCGGCUCAACUGAGGAACUGCCUUUGAAACUGUUCGGCUUGAGGCCGGGAGGGGGUAGCGGAAUUCCCAGUGUAGCGGUGAAAUGCGUAGAUAUCGGGAGGAACACCAGUGGCGAAGGCGGCUACCUGGACCGGUUCUGACGCUGAGGCGCGAAAGCGUGGGUAGCAAACAGG
rnacentral:rRNA from 1 species